AGAAUCAACGCUGGCGGCGUGCCUAACACAUGCAAGUCGCACGAGAAAGUGGAGCAAUCCAUGAGUACAGUGGCGCACGGGUGAGUAACACGUGAAUAAUCUACCUCCGAGUGGGGAAUAACUUCGGGAAACCGAGGCUAAUACCGCAUAACACUUACGAGUCAAAGCAGCAAUGCGCUUGGAGAGGAGUUCGCGGCAGAUUAGCUAGUUGGUGGGGUAAUGGCCCACCAAGGCGAUGAUCUGUAU
rnacentral:rRNA from 1 species